rnacentral:rRNA from 1 species
AUUGAACGCUGGCGGCAGGCCUAACACAUGCAAGUCGAGCGGAUGAAGGGAGCUUGCUCCUGGAUUCAGCGGCGGACGGGUGAGUAAUGCCUAGGAAUCUGCCUGGUAGUGGGGGAUAACGUCCUGAAACGGGCGCUAAUACCGCAUACGUCCUGAGGGAGAAAGUGGGGGAUCUUCGGACCUCACGCUAUCACAUGAUCCUAGGUCGGAUUAGCUAGUUGGUGGGGUAAAGGCCUACCAAGGCGACGAUCCGUAACUGGUCUGAGAGGAUGAUCAGUCACACUGGAACUGAGACACGGUCCAGACUCCUACGGGAGGCAGCAGUGGGGAAUAUUGGACAAUGGGCGAAAGCAUGAUCCAGCCAUGCCGCGUGUGUGAAGAAGGUCUUCGGAUUGUAAAGCACUUUAAGUUGGGAGGAAGGGCAGUAAGUUAAUACCUUGCUGUUUUGACGUUACCAACAGAAUAAGCACCGGCUAACUUCGUG